ensembl:lncRNA
GGGAGAGAGAGAUACAGAGGGAGAGAGAAGACAGGUGGAUAUAGAAGACAGAGGGAGAGAGAUACAGAGGGAGAGAGAUACAGAGGGAGAGAGAAGACAGAGGGAGAGAGAAGACAGAGGGAGAGAGAAGACAGGGGAGAGAGAUACAGAGGGAGAGAUACAGAGGGAGAGAGAUACAGAAGGAGAGAGAAGACAGAGGGAGAGAGAAGACAGGGGGAGAGAGAAGACAGGUGGAGAGAGAAGACAGAGGGAGAGAGAAGACAGAGGGAGAGAGAAGACAGAGGAGGAGAGAAAACACAGAGAGAUACAG